UCGUGGAUAAACCAAAGAACAGCUAUUGUUCAUUUCUGCUUUCACUUUCCUUUUUUUCCUCCACAGAAAACUGUUACAGAAGUCUCUGAAUUUUCGCUGCCCGAUCCAAACCAGAAAGGGAUUCCGGGAUCCAAAACCUCAGUUUCAAGCCUCUGAGUGAGGGCGGUGUCGGCUCAGAAUUAAGGUUUCCAUGGAUUUUACCAGCCCUCCAUUAUCUCUCCAAGACAAUGGUUUUAGUAUGGUACCCACUGAUCCACUGGGGGAGAUUGAAAAACUCAAGGAAGAGCUGAGGAUGUGGAAGGCAAGUUCUGUAAAGCCCAUGGAAUCAUGGAGAUUUGCUAAAAUACAAAGAUUGGUGCAUCCUUCUAAAAUCAGAUCAAACCCCCCACAUUUAUAACACCUUUAACUUGUUCUGCUCUUCCAUGCUUUGUGCUUGUGUUGAUGG
rnacentral:lncRNA from 1 species